rnacentral:rRNA from 1 species
UACAGAGGGUGCGAGCGUUAAUCGGAAUUACUGGGCGUAAAGCGCGCGUAGGCGGUCAGAUAAGUCAGAUGUGAAAUCCCCGGGCUCAACCUGGGAACUGCAUCUGAUACUGUCGGACUAGAGUUUGGGAGAGGGAAGUAGAAUUUCAGGUGUAGCGGUGAAAUGCAUAGGGAUCUGAAGGAAUACCAGUGGCGAAGGCGACUUCCUGGCCUAAAACUGACGCUGAGGUGCGAAAGCGUGGGUAGCAAACGGGAUUAGAUACCCCGGUAGUCC